rnacentral:rRNA from 1 species
UGGGGAAUAUUGCACAAUGGAGGGAACUCUGAUGCAGCGACGCCGCGUGAACGAAGAAGGCUUUCGAGUCGUAAAGUUCUUUUAUAUGGGAAGAUAAUGACGGUACCAUAAGAAAAAGCCCCGGCUAACUACGUGCCAGCAGCCACGGUAAUACGUAGGGGGCUAGCGUUGUCCGGAAUCACUGGGCGUAAAGGGUUCGCAGGCGGAAAUGCAAGUCAGGUGUAAAAGGCAGUAGCUUAACUACUGUAAGCAUUUGAAACUGCAUAUCUUGAGAAGAGUAGAGGUAAGUGGAAUUUUUAGUGUAGCGGUGAAAUGCGUAGAUAUUAAAAAGAAUACCGGUGGCGAAGGCGGCUUACUGGGCUCAUUCUGACGCUGAGGAACGAAAGCGUGGGUAGCAAACAGG